rnacentral:misc_RNA from 1 species
CCUGAGUGAUAGGCCUAACUCAUCAACCCUGUGAACGAUCCUAAGCGUUGCUUCGGGCGGGAACUAACUGCCCUGUACACGGGCCCCCGCCAGAGGACUCUCUAACUCUGUUUAUAUGAGUUAUUUCUAGUACACAUAAGUA